rnacentral:rRNA from 1 species
GGGGACGGGUCCGCGUCCUAUUAGCUUGUUGGUAGGGUAACGGCCUACCAAGGCGACGAUGGGUACCGGGCGUGAGAGCGUGGCCCGGCUCACCGGGACUGAGACACUGCCCAGACACCUACGGGUGGCUGCAGUCGAGAAUCUUCGGCAAUGGGCGAAAGCCUGACCGAGCGACGCCGCGUGCGGGAUGAAGGCCUUCGGGUUGUAAACCGCUGUCAGAGGGGAGGAAAUGUCAGGGGGUCACCUCCUGGCUUGACCUAUCCUCAGAGGAAGUACGGGCUAAGUUCGUGCCAGCAGCCGCGGUAAGACGAACCGUACGAACGUUAUUCGGAAUUACUGGGCUUAAAGGGUGCGUAGGCGGCUCGGUAAGUUGGGUGUGAAAUCCCUCGGCUCAACCGAGGAACUGCGCUCAAUACUGCCGGGCUCGAGGGAGACAGAGGUGAGCGGAACUUGCGGUGGAGCGGUGAAAUGCGUUGAUAUCGCAAGGAACACCCGUGGCGAAAGCGGCUCACUGGGUCUCUUCUGACGCUGAGGCACGAAAACUAGGGGAGCGAACGGGAUUAGAUACCCCGGUAGUCCUAGCUGUAAACGAUGAGCACUGGGUCGGAGGACCUCCCAUAGUUUUCCGUCUGUAGCGCACAGCUGCUUAAGUUCUCCGCC